AAUGUCGUAACAAAGGUUUCCGUAGGUGAACUUGCGGAAUGGAUCAUUAAAGAGAUAGGGUCUUCAUGGCCCGACCUCCAACCCUCUGUUGUUAUAACUACCUUGUUGCUUUGGCGGGACCGUCUCGGUCUCCGAGCGCACUAACCCUCGGGUUGGUGAGCGCCCGCCAGAGUCCAACCAAAUCUCUUGUAUUAAAACCCAAGUCGUCCUGAGGUAUAAAAUUUUGAAUUAAUUAAAAAU
rnacentral:misc_RNA from 1 species